GCCGGGCGCGGUGGCGCGCGCCUGUAGUCCCAGCUACUCGGGAGGCUGAGGCCGGAGGAUCGCUUGAGUCCAGUUCUGGGCUGUCGUGCGCACUAAGUUCGGCAUCAAUAUGGUGACCUCCCGGGAGCGAGGGACCACCAGGUUGCCUAAGGAGGGGUGAACCGGCCCAGGUCGGAAACGGAGCAGGUCAAAAUAAAUCAUAACAUGUUCCUUACAGGCGGAACACAAAAGUCUAACUU
ensembl:misc_RNA Metazoa_SRP Metazoan signal recognition particle RNA